AGUGAACGCUGGCGGUAGGCCUAACACAUGCAAGUCGAACGGCAGCACAGUAAGAGCUUGCUCUUACGGGUGGCGAGUGGCGGACGGGUGAGGAAUACAUCGGAAUCUACUUUUUCGUGGGGGAUAACGUAGGGAAACUUACGCUAAUACCGCAUACGACCUACGGGUGAAAGCAGGGGAUCUUCGGACCUUGCGCGAUUGAAUGAGCCGAUGUCGGAUUAGCUAGUUGGCGGGGUAAAGGCCCACCAAGGCGACGAUCCGUAGCUGGUCUGAGAGGAUGAUCAGCCACACUGGAACUGAGACACGGUCCAGACUCCUACGGGAGGCAGCAGUGGGGAAUAUUGGACAAUGGGCGCAAGCCUGAUCCAGCCAUACCGCGUGGGUGAAGAAGGCCUUCGGGUUGUAAAGCCCUUUUGUUGGGAAAGAAAAGCAGCAGGUUAAUACCCCGCUGUUCUGACGGUACCCAAAGAGUAAGCACCGGCGAACUUCGU
rnacentral:rRNA from 1 species